GGCGGGAUGCCUGGCCUGUUGGGACCGAUCCUUGUAGUAGGUCAGCGCAGGAGUGACGCAGAAGGGUAGCCGGCCGCGGAGGUGGUCUUCCGUGGUCAAGCACGCAGGGCGUGGGACAGGCAAAUCCGUCCCGCAUGGGUCCGAGGUGCGAUGAUGGGGGCCUUAUGGCCCGAUAUCCGGUGAUCCCGGCUGCCGAGAAAAGCUUCGGCGUCAGGCUCAAAGCCGCCCGUACCCCAAACCGACACUGGUGGUCAGGUAGAGAAUACCAAAGCGAUCGAGCGAAUCCUGGUCAAGGAACUCGGCAAAUCACUCCCGUUCCUUCGGUUUAAGGGAGACCCCCGAUGGUGAACACACUUGCUGUGGGAGCUUUUGGGGGUGGCACAGACCAGGGGGUAGCGACUGUUUACCAAAAACACAGGUGCAUGCGAAGGCGCAAGCCGCUGUAUAUGCACUGACGCCUGCCCGGUGCCGGAAGGUUAAGAGGAUCCGUCAGCCUUCGGGUGAAGCGGUGAAUUCAAGCCCCGGUAAACGGCGGUGGUAACAAUAACCAUCCUAAGGUAGCGAAAUUCCUUGUCGGGUAAGUUCCGACCUGCACGAAUGGCGUAACGACUUCCCCACUGUCUCGACCAGGAGCUCGGCGAAAUUGCAGUACGAGUAAAGAUGCUCGUUAAGCGCAGAAGGACGAAAAGACCCCGGGACCUUUACUAUACCUUGGUAUUGGCAUUCGGUGUGGAUUGUGUAGCAUAGGCGGGAGGCCGAGAGGCGCGGUCGCCAGAUCGCGCGGAGCCGUAAGGUGAAAUACCGCUCUGUUCGCAUUGGAUGUCUAACCUCGAACAGUCAUCCUGUUCAGGGACAGUGCCUGGCGGGUAGUUUAACUGGGGCGGUUGCCUCCCAAAGAGUAACGGAGGCGCCCAAAGGUCCGCUCAGCCCGGUUGGCAAUCGGGUGGCGAGUGCAAGUGCACAAGCGGGCUUGACUGCGAGGACGACGGUCCGAGCAGGGACGAAAGUCGGGACUAGUGAUCCGGUGCCGGUGUACGGACGCGGCAUCGCUCAACGGAUAAAAGGUACCCCGGGGAUAACAGGCUGAUCAUUCCCAAGAGUCCAUAUCGACGGGAUGGUUUGGCACCUCGAUGUCGGCUCGUCGCAUCCUGGGGCUGGAGCAGGUCCCAAGGGUUCGGCUGUUCGCCGAUUAAAGCGGCACGCGAGCUGGGUUCAGAACGUCGUGAGACAGUUUGGUCUCUAUCCUCUGCGCUCGUUGGAAUGCUGAGGAGGCCUGCCCAUAGUACGAGAGGACCUGGGUGGACGAACCUCUGGUAUGCCGGUUGUCACGCCAGUGGCACGGCCGGUUGGCUACGUUCGGAAGGGAUAACCGCUGAAAGCAUCUAAGCGGGAAGCCUGCUCCAAGAUAAGCAUUCCGUGGAACCUUCGAGUUCCUGUAGUCCCCAUGCAGAACACGUGGUCGAUAGGCCGGACGUGGAAGCCCCGCGAGGGGUGGAGCCGACCGGUACUAACGGACGAAAGAC
rnacentral:rRNA from 1 species